rnacentral:rRNA from 1 species
GAUGAACGCUGGCGGCGUGCCUAAUACAUGCAAGUCGAGCGAACAGAUGAGGAGCUUGCUCCUCUGACGUUAGCGGCGGACGGGUGAGUAACACGUGGAUAACCUACCUAUAAGACUGGGAUAACUUCGGGAAACCGGAGCUAAUACCGGAUAAUAUAUUGAACCGCAUGGUUCAAUAGUGAAAGACGGUUUUGCUGUCACUUAUAGAUGGAUCCGCGCCGCAUUAGCUAGUUGGUAAGGUAACGGCUUACCAAGGCAACGAUGCGUAGCCGACCUGAGAGGGUGAUCGGCCACACUGGAACUGAGGAACGGUCCAAACUCCUACGGGAGGCAGCAGUAGGGAAUCUUCCGGAAUGGGCGAAAGCCUGACGGAGCAACGCCGCGUGAGUGAUGAAGGUCUUCGGAUCGUAAAACUCUGUUAUUAGGGAAGAACAAAUGUGUAAGUAACUAUGCACGUCUUGACGGUACCUAAUCAGAAAGCCACGGCUAACUACGUG